ensembl:lncRNA
CUCUGGUGGCUGGGGAGAGGAGGAGGGAGAGGAGGAUCUCUGGUGGCUGGGGAAAGGAGGAGGGAGAGGAGGAACUCUGGUUGCUGGGGAGAGGAGGAGGGAGAGGAGGAACUCUGGUGGCUGGGGAGAGGAGGAGGGAGAGGAGGAACUCUGGUGGCUGGGGAGAAGAGGAGGAGGAGGAUCUCUGGUUGCUGGGGAGAGGAGGAAGAGGAGGAGGAGGAACUUUGGUGGCUGGGGAGAGGAGGAGGGAGAGGAGGAACUCUGGUGGCUGGGGAGAAGAGGAGGAGGAGGAACUCUGGUGGCUGGGGAGAGGAGGAGGAGGAGGAACUCUGGUGGUUGGGGAGAAGAGGAGGAGGAGGAACUCUGGUGGCUGGGAAGAGGAGGAGGAGGAACUCUGGUGGUUGGGGAGAAGAAGAAAUAGAAAGAGUUUGGGGAAUGGAGGAAAGGAGAGAAAGAGGCAGAGGAGAUACUGGGACACGGCAUGCAGAAGGACACAAAGAAUCACAUCUGUCUCCACACUGUCCUCCUUCCCUCUGUGGGAGACCGAGGAGAGAGGGGGGGACAGGAAUGUGGUAAACAACUCUACUUUGUUGAUGUUUACCGGAUGUUUCUGUCACGAGUGUCAGACUGACAAGAACCACACCAAGGAGUCUGAGACGAAAGACCUGGUGGCCUUCACCAACCGACCUGAGACAGCCUGUUAGAGGUCUGUGCUGUAUCAGAAGUCUGGGCCCAUAUUCAUAAAGACUCUCAGUAGGAGUGGUCAUCUGGGAUCAGGUCCUAAAGAGUCUCAGUAGGAGUGGUCAUCUGGGAUCAGGUCCUAAAGAGUCUCAGUAGGAGUGGUCAUCUGGGAUCAGGUCAUAGUCUCAGUAGGAGUGGUGAUCUAGGAUCAGGUCAUAUAGAGUCUGAGAGUGUUGAUCUGGGAUCAGGUCCUAAAGAGUCCCAGUAGGAGUGUUGAUCUAGGAUCAGGUCAUAAAGAGAUUCAGUAGGAGUAUUGAUCUAGGAUCAGGUCAUAAAGAGUGAGAGUAGGAGUGGUGAUCAUAAUGAAUAACAUUACAUGGACCUGGGGGACCUGAUCCUAGAUCAUAAUGACCUGGGAGACCUGAUCCUAGAUCAUAAUGACCUGGGGGACCUGAUCCUAGAUCAGCUCUCCUACUGUGAAUACCAGAACCAGGUCUUACCUGUCAGAGGUCAGAGGUCUUCAUCCUCUCGGAUGUUGUGGUUUCUUCCUACUGUAGCUUUUCCCAACUUCAACUGUUUCAAUAAAUGCCGGACAACAAAAUGUAAAAUGUGUUUCACUGAAUAGCAGUUUUUUUUUAAGUGUCAUGCAAAGCAUUUUCAGGAAAGUUAUUUGUUGUUUUGCAUGGUCAAGCCCAAAUUAUGUUUUCGUUUCUGUCUUUGGGAUGUCAUGUAAAUAUUAUAAAACUAAAAUCUGCUUGGAUUUUGCGUAAAGUUAAAGUAUAUGUUGUUUGAUAAAUAAAUAAUGUUGGUAUAAUGA